rnacentral:rRNA from 1 species
UACAGAGGUCCCGAGCGUUGUUCGGAUUCACUGGGCGUAAAGGGUGCGCAGGUGGGCUGGUAAGUUCGAUGUGAAAGCCCCGGGCUUAACCCGGGAAAGGCAUUGGAUACUACUGGUCUGGAGGAUUGGAGGGGGGACUGGAAUUCUUGGUGUAGCAGUGAAAUGCGUAGAUAUCAAGAGGAACACCAGUGGCGAAGGCGAGUCCCUGGACAAUUCCUGACACUGAGGCACGAAAGCCAAGGGAGCAAACAGG